rnacentral:rRNA from 1 species
AGAGUUUGAUCAUGGCUCAGGACGAACGCUGGCGGCGUGCUUUAGACAUGCAAGUCGAACGGAGUAGCAAUACUCAGUGGCAAACGGCGGAGUAAGAUAUAAGCAACGUGCCCUGAAGACUGGGAUAGCCAGCCGAAAGGCUGAGUAAUACCAGAUGUGGCCCUUUGAGGACAUCCUCGAAGGAUUAAACGGUUUUUCGCUUCAGGAGCGGCUUAUAGCCUAUCAGCUAGUUGGUGGGGUAAUGGCCUACCAAGGCUACGACGGGUAGGGGGUCUGAGAGGAUGAUCCCCCCGAGUGGGACUGAGACACGGCCCACACACCUACGGGUGGCAGCAGUUUGGAAUCUUGCCCAAUGGGGGAAACCCUGAGGCAGCGGCGCCGCGUGGAGGAUGAAGGGUCUAGGUCUGUAAACUCCUUUUAUCGGGAAAGACUUAGGACGGUACCCGAUGAAUAAGCACCGGCUAACUACGUGCCAGCAGCCCGGUAAGACGUAGGGUGCAAGCGUUGUCCGGAUUUACUGGGCGUAAAGGACGCGUAGGCGGUUCGUUAAGUGUGAAGUGAAAUCUCCAGGGCUCAACCCGGAAACUGCUUUACAUACUGGCGGACUGGAGGGAUGCAGAGGUAAGUAGAAUUCCUGGUGUAGCGGUGAAAUGCGUUGAUAUCAGGAGGAAUACCGAUGGCGAAGGCAGCUUACUGGGCAUCAUCUGACGCUGAGGCGUGAAAGCGUGGGUAGCAAACAGGAUUAGAUACCCUGGUAGUCCACGCCCUAAACGAUGGAUACUAGACGUAAGAGGUAUCGACCCCUCUUGUGUCGCAGUUAACGCACUAAGUAUCCCGCCUGGGGACUACGGCCGCAAGGUUGAAACUCAAAUGAAUUGACGGGGACCCGCACAAGCGGUGGAGCAUGUGGAUUAAUUCGAUACUAACCGAAGAACCUUACCCAGGUUUGACAUCGAUCGCAAGACCGAGAGAUCGGUCCCUCCCCCCAAAAGGGGGACGUGAAGACACUUGUUGCAUGGCUGUCGUCAGCUCGUGCCGUGAGGUGUACGGUUAAGUCCGCCAACGAGCGCAACCCUCGUCCUAUGUUGCCAGCGAGAAAGUCGGGAACUCAUAGGAGACCGCCGGUGUAAGCCGGAGGAAGGUGGGGAUGACGUCAAGUCAGCAUGGCAGUUACGCCUGGGGCUUCACACAUGCUACAAUGGGCGAAACAGAGGGCAGCAAUAUCGCGAGAUGGAGCAAAUCCCAAAAAUACGCCCCCAGUUCAGAUUGCAGUCUGCAACUCGACUGCAUGAAGGCGGAAUCGCUAGUAAACGCAGGUCAGCUAUACUGCGUUGAAUACGUUCCCGGGUCUUGUACACACCGCCCGUCAAGUCACCUGAAUUGUCUUCACCCGAAGUCUGUGGCCUAACCCGCAAGGGAGGGAGCAGCCGAAGGUGAGGGGGGUAAGGGGGACUAAGUCGGAACAAGGUA